GAGGAAUAAGCAUCGGCUAACUCCGUGCCAGCAGCCGCGGUAAUACGGGGGAUGCAAGCGUUAUCCGGAAUCAUUGGGCGUAAAGCGCCUGUAGGUUGUUUAAUAAGUCUGUUGUUAAAGACUAGGGCUCAACCCUAGGAAAGCAAUGGAAACUACUAGACUUGAGUAUGAUAGGGGUAGAGGGAAUUUCUAGUGUAGCGGUGAAAUGCGUAGAUAUUAGGAAGAACACCGGUGGCGAAGGCGCUCUACUGGAUCAUUACUGACACUCAGAGGCGAAAGCUAGGGUAGCAAAAGGGAUUAGAUACCCCUGUAGUCCUAGCCGUAAACGAUGGAUACUAGAUGUUGCGUUUAUUAUGCAGUAUCGUAGCUAACGCGUUAAGUAUCCCGCCUGGGGAGUACGCUCGCAAGGGUGAAACUCAAAGGAAUUGACGGGGGCCCGCACAAGCGGUGGAGCAUGUGGUUUAAUUCGAUGCAACGCGAAGAACCUUACCAAGGCUUGACAUACUACAAAUUUCUUUGAAAGAGGAAAGUGCCUUCGGGAAUGUAGAUACAGGUGGUGCAUGGCUGUCGUCAGCUCGUGUCGUGAGAUGUUGGGUUAAGUCCCGCAACGAGCGCAACCCUUAUUUUUAGUUGCUAAUUUAUUAGGUUUUCUAGAAAGACUGCCGGUGACAAACCGGAGGAAGGUGAGGAUGACGUCAAGUCAGCAUGCCCCUUAUGCCUUGGGCUACACACGUGCUACAAUGGUUAAGACAAAGAGUUGCGAGCUCGCGAGAGUCAGCUAAUCUCAUAAACUUAGCCUAAGUUCGGAUUGUAGGCUGCAACUCGCCUACAUGAAG
rnacentral:rRNA from 1 species